AAAUGAGAAAACUGAAUGUCAGAGAAAUGAAGCAUCUUACCCAAGAACACAGAGCUAGUGAGUAUCAAAGGCAGAGCAGAAACCAAAUUCUUCCUGAUUCCAAGUCAGACACUUCAUCCACUAUUCCACACUGUCUCAUAUUCAUUUAAAGGCAGCAGUGAUUCCAAAAGGUUACAAAAGAUUCAGCAGUUUUAAGCUUGGGAGGCAAUCAUGCCUGACAGCACAGAUCUCUGCCACCAGACAACCCUGGCAUGGCUUGGAAAGAGGAAUCCUUUCCUACUACCUCAGAUGAAUUUCCCAAGUUCCUUCUGAGGGAGGCCAGAGCAGGAAAUACCCAGCCUUGGAAGUGGCCUUAACAGGGAGCUGCCUAGUCUUGGGAGUUUCAGAAACCAUAAAUAUGUCAAGACCCCAGCUGCAGUGGGUACCAGAUAAAGGCCAAGAAGACCCCAAUAACAUAAAAUUGUCAAAGUUCCAACAAUGGUUCACAGAAUCAUCUGAUCAUGGAUUUAGACCUGAAAGGAACUUUAGAUGCUACCGAAUAAAUCCUUUCUUUUUACAUGUGGGGAGCCGAGAAGCAGAGAUUAAGUGAUUUUCCCAGGAUCACACAGUUUUGGACCCAGUUCAUUACCAUCUGCAGUGCCCAAGUGAUAUAUACUGAGGAUCACCUUGAUGUAUUAUCUUUCCAACUCCACAUCAGAGCCUGGACAAUAGAUGCUAUUCAUCUACUUACUAUUUCCUGUGUGCACAGGUAGAUGCUGUUUCUAGAGAACAUAAGGACUGAGCAAGAUGGAUAAGAAGCUAUUAAGGCAUACAUGAACAAAAGUACAAAUAAAUUCACCAACCCAGUGGAAUUUCUAGCA
rnacentral:lncRNA from 1 species